CUACGGGCGGCUCCAGUGAGGAAUAUUGGUCAAUGGACGCAAGUCUGAACCAGCCAUGUCGCGUGCAGGAAGACGGCCUUAUGGGUUGUAAACUGCUUUUAUACAGGAAGAAACCUUUUCUCGUGAGGGAAGCUGACGGUACUGUAUGAAUAAACACCGGCUAACUCCGUGCCAGCAGCCGCGGUAAUACGGAGGGUGUAAGCGUUAUCCGGAAUCAUUGGGUUUAAAGGGUCCGUAGGCGGACUAAUAAGUCAGGGGUGAAAUCCCACGGCUCAACCGUGGAACUGCCUUUGAUACUGUUAGUCUUGAGAGGUAAUGAAGUAGAUGGAAUGUGUAGUGUAGCGGUGAAAUGCAUAGAUAUUACACAGAACACCGAUUGCGAAGGCAGUCUACUAAUUAUCGUCUGACGCUGAGGGACGAAAGCGUGGGGAGCGAACAGGAUUAGAUACCCCAGUAGUC
rnacentral:rRNA from 1 species